rnacentral:rRNA from 1 species
GACGAACGCUGGCGGCGUGCUUAACACAUGCAAGUCGAACGGAAAGGCCUGCUUUCCCUUGUGGAUUGCGGGUACUCGAGUGGCGAACGGGUGAGUAACACGUGAGUGAUCUGCCCCCAACUUGGGUAUAAGCCUGGGAAACUGGGUCUAAUUCCCGAUAGGACUGCAGGGUGGUGCCUGUGGUGGAAAACGAUUUUCUAGUGGUUGGGGAUGAGCUCGCGGCCUAUCAGCGUGUUGGUGGGGUAAUGGCCUACCAAGGCGGCGACGGGUAGCCGGGCUGAGAGGGUGGACGGCCACAUUGGGACGGAGAUACGGCCCAGAAUGCUACGGAGGGCAGCAGUGGGGAAUAUUGCGCGAGGAGCGGAAGCCUGAUGCAGCGACGCCGGGGGAGAGAUGACGGCCUUCGGGUUGUAAACUCCUUUCGACCGAGAGGAAGCCACCUGGUUGGAAGGGUGGUGACGGUAGUGGUAGAAGAAGCACCGGCUAACUACGUG